rnacentral:lncRNA from 1 species
UAGAUAACAUUUUGAGACUUCCAUUAUUGCAUGAUGAACAUAACUUAACAUUUGACAAACAAUUAUAUAACUUAGAAAGACGAUUACAUAACUUAACAAAACAAUAAUAAAUAAGAAAACAUAAACACUACUAGAUGAUUCUGGACGUUUCAAUAUCUUGAUUAUGUCUUCGACAGAUCUAGAAAUUAUCGCAUCAAAC